UUCCAGCUCCAGUAGCGUAUAUUAAAGUUGUUGCAGUUAAAAAACUCGUAGUUGGAUUUCUGAUAGUAGCGUUGGGCCCGCCCGGGUUACCGGUGUGAGUGCCUGUUCGCUCCCUUCAUCCUUCUAGAGAACGGUUCUCUCCUUCAUUGGCAGUGGGAUCGCGAUCUAGAUCUUUUACUUUGAAAAAAUUAGAGUGCUCAAAGCAGGCUUUUACGCCUGAAUAUUCGUGCAUGGAAUAAUAGAAUAGGAAGUCGUUUCUAUUUUGUUGGUUUUCGGAAAUCGACUUAAUGAUUAAUAGGGACAGUCGGGGGCAUUUGUAUUCAAACGACAGAGGUGAAAUUCUUGGACCGUUUGAAGACAAACUACUGUGAAAGCAUUUGCCAAGAAUGUUUUCAUCA
rnacentral:rRNA from 1 species